rnacentral:rRNA from 1 species
AUGACUGAUGUUGAGCGUGAGGCUGCCGUUAGUGUUGGAGAUGAUGCUUGUGGUGUUGCAUUGAGCAGUGGGCGCGAUGUUGGUACCAAAGUUGCUGAUGAGGAUGUUGGUGCUGCCAGCAUACUUGAUGCCAAAUCGUCUGGCGUUGGUAUUAAUGCUGAGAAUGAAAAUCUUUCUGAUUGUGAACAUUUGCCGCUGACAAAUUUCCCGCCUGGAGGGCUUGAUUACGGUGAUGCAUUGCAAGAUGCCUCUAGCAUGGAGGAGGAACUCCCGUCGUCAAACGCUGAUAGUGCAGAAGGUGCUAAUGUUGUUAAGGUUGAUUUGUUUUUCUUCGCUGUUACGAGGUUGCGCAUGAACCGUGCGAAACGUGACAAGCCGAUGUUUCAAAAUAGCGAAUGUGAUGCCAGUGUUGGUUCUAUUGCUAAAUCAUUUGUCCCCACUGGCAUGCUCAACUUAGACAGUGCUGACGUUGUUUUAUAUUCUCUACGUCAGAAGUACCGAGACAUUGACAAGUUGAUAGUUCCUAGAUGGUGA